GAUCCUGGCUACAGAACGAACGCUGGCGGCAGGCCUAACACAUGCAAGUCGAACGCUCCGCAAGGGGAGUGGCAGACGGGUGAGUAACACGUGGGAACCUUCCCAUCGCUACGGAAUAGCUCAGGGAAACUUGGGGUAAUACCGUAUACGCCCGAAAGGGGAAAGAUUUAUCGGCGAUGGAUGGGCCCGCGGCUGAUUAGCUAGUUGGUGAGGUAAACGGCUCACCAAGGCGACGAUCAGUAGCUGGUCUGAGAGGACGACCAGCCACACUGGGACUGAGACACGGCCCAGACUCCUACGGGAGGCAGCAGUGGGGAAUAUUGGACAAUGGGCGCAAGCCUGAUCCAGCCAUGCCGCGUGAGUGACGAAGGUCUUCGGAUUGUAAAGCUCUUUUGGCGGGGACGAUAAUGACGGUACCCGCAGAAUAAGCCCCGGCUAACUUCGUG
rnacentral:rRNA from 1 species